AUGGUGGGGGGCAACAAGCCCAUGGCAAGCACUGAAAUAGGGGGCCUUUCAGGUCCUUCCAACCCAACCCAACCCAACCCAACCCAACCCAACCCAACCAUUCUGUGAUUCUGUGAUCUCAUAGGGAAACACCACCCCAAGGGACCUUCAAAGCAUCUCUUACUCCACUGCAGCCACCAUGAGAAAUAAAGACAAUUCUUAUCCAUAUCCUAACUUUGCUAAAUCAUUUAUUCUACACCCUGGAUGCUGACAUUGCCAACCUACUGAACGCCCCUUGUGCAACCUCCAGACUGACGACACCACAGCCCUUACAAGCUGCAAUAGGAUGAUUUAUGUGAGAUUAGCUUUUCCGUACAGAUGCAAAUUUGUGUUUUGGGGGUAGGUCCCAUUGAAACAAGCCUUGUAGAGAUUUUGUGAUCUCCCCUGUUUGGCAGCAGUAUAAUUACUGCCCUGUGAAUGGCCGGGAGGAAACAAGAUCCCAGGAGCUGCCUAUGGCUGCUGGUGCUGUUAGUGCAGAUCGGCUUCCAAAGAGCAGAGGUAGCAGAGUUGCAAGGAGCCUGGAGCAGUCUCUCAUGCAGACAAGUGGUCUCAAGGCAACAAAAUGAACUGGAAACAUCGCUCAGUGCAAUGCUUUGUAAAAGCUGCAUUCGUAGUCUCGGCAUUUUAUCUCAACACGUGCACAUCAGGUAGGAUGCACCCUGUGUUAUUUCAUGCAGUGCUCCAGGGGAACUGUAACUCUUGUGUGAUGGAAGGGGAAGGUUUUUAAAAGAAAGUGGUGUAUGUGUCUCAGUUUGGGUAGCAACAAGAUCCAAGUUCUGGUUAUAAUUCAGUGAGUGACUUUUGAGCACUUUUGAUGGGUUUGUGCCUAAUUUCCUCUACCUGAGUAAAUAGAGAAAAGCUGUUUCCAGCAUGUUCUGUGAUUUUACCUCCAGACUGCAGGUAUCCUCCUAGCUGAGUUCAGCACAUGAGAGGGAAAACAUUUCUGCAUGCAGAGCCCCAGUCUGGUUCAGCACAGUGCAAACACCAAAAGGUAAAUUUCCAGUCAGGUCUGGGAACACAAACCUAAUUCAUAGUAUAAAAAGAUAUUCUGAUUAAGGGGGGAAAGAAAAAGGGGGUUUUCAAUAUCCAUCACACAGGGCUGUAGCUUGUGCCUGUAUAAUUGCUGCAGGAAUCCAGAGGGUUGUCAUUUAAAACUGGUACACAUCCACUGACCAUUGAAUGAACAUUUUAAGCCAACCAACGCACAAAUUGCCAUCGUAUACGACUGUUAAUGCCUUAAAAGUUUUCUUUGUGCUAUGGAAUGGUUGUUGGUUGCCAUGCAGGGCUAAGAGGAGCAUGUGGUCUUAAGGGCCCAUCUGGGCACCAUGUCCUUGUGUUGCUUUGAAGCAGCACUUGGGCCAGAGCUGUUGUUAUCUCAGCUCAGAGAUGUUGGGUGGAGAUCUGCAGUUGAAUGAUGUCCUAAUCCAGAAGCAAAUGGAAACAAAAUAGUAUAGAACAAGAGGAAGCCACUUCCAUCCACAGCUCUUACCUGGUGUGUGUUGAAAGUGCAAUUCUUCAUUAAUGCCAGCAGAAGGAAGUAGUCGUUUACAAACAGACCGCUGAAACCCGAUCAAUCAAGCAGUGUACUUUAUGGAGUGCUCAUUAACACAGGACAGUCAAAGAAUGACAUUUGUUAUGAAUUCUGUUCCAA
rnacentral:lncRNA from 1 species